AAUACGGAACCUCCGCAAAAAUAUUCAAUUCUUGAGCUGAUUACACCGCAGAUCAGAGAUAGACCAUAACGGGAUCAAGGACAAAAUAACAACUAUGCAAAAUAGCGUAAGCUGGCUACGGAACAACCCUAUCGCAUAAUACAAGAACAACAACUAGUACGGCAACUUGUUGCAAUACCUACAAGGCAAUCCUUUCAACAACAUGGAAUUACAAGAUCUAAGAGUGACGCUACAGAAGAUAACCCUCCGUCGCCUCUAAUCGCCUACUCCAGUUUGAACAGCUAACUGCAUCAAGGCCUCCUGGAAUCCAACGCUCUGUAACCAGCAACAACCUCACCAAAUUAAACUCCGCAAUACCUCAGCCACACCAAAUUCCACACAACACAUGCACGUCAAAAAAUUCAAAGCAAACUCUGUA
rnacentral:lncRNA from 1 species